GUAGGAUUUGAGACGUAAAAGCACCUCGAAAAUUUGCAAACUGCUCAGCAGAUGUCAAAAUGGACGGGGUGGUGGGGCAGCUACGCGAGGUCGGACAUCAGAGAAUUAUCUCCGUUAGUCAAUCAGUAAUCGAUCUGUCCUGCUGAUGGCGAUGAAAUGAGACCGGCCGCGCGCUCUCCCUGGGCCGGGAGGAGGAGGCAACACUUGAACCGACUGUGGAUCCUGUUUGCCUUAUCUUUCACAUUAAUAUGAGCAAUUCCAGGAGGUACUGUGAUGAUGUCAUCUUGUCUUCCCUCAAGUCUUCUUUUGGAAAUGUUGCUAUUUAUACCCCAUCCUUAUAAAAAAUGAAGUAGAAGGGUAAGUGAAUAUCUGGAUCUGGAAUAUCCUCUAACUACCAGAACGUAUGAGUUCUAAACUGCAAACC
rnacentral:lncRNA from 1 species